rnacentral:tRNA from 1 species
AAGAUAUUAGUAAAAUGAUUACGUAACUUUGUCGAAGUUAAUUCAUAGGUUGAACUCCUAUAUGUCUUC